GACGAACGCUGGCGGCGCGCUUAACACAUGCAAGUCGAACGGAAAGGCCUGCUUUCCCUUGUGGAUUGCGGGUACUCGAGUGGCGAACGGGUGAGUAACACGUGAGUGAUCUGCCCCCAACUUGGGUAUAAGCCUGGGAAACUGGGUCUAAUUCCCGAUAGGACUGCAGGGUGGUGCCUGUGGUGGAAAACGAUUUUCUAGUGGUUGGGGAUGAGCUCGCGGCCUAUCAGCUUGUUGGUGGGGUAAUGGCCUACCAAGGCGGCGACGGGUAGCCGGCCUGGGAGGGUGGACGGCCACAUUGGGACUGAGAUACGGCCCAGACUCCUACGGGAGGCAGCAGUGGGGAAUAUUGCACAAUGGGCGGAAGCCUGAUGCAGCGACGCCGCGUGGGGGAUGACGGCCUUCGGGUUGUAAACUCCUUUCGACCGCGAGGAAGCCACCUGGUUGGGAGGGUGGUGACGGUAGUGGUAGAAGAAGCACCGGCUAACUACGUG
rnacentral:rRNA from 1 species